rnacentral:rRNA from 1 species
GAUGAACGCGUAGCGGCGUGCCUAAUGCAUGCAAGUCGGACGGCAGUCUUGAGCUUCAUCUUCGGAUGAAGCUGAAGGCGAGAGUGGCGCACGGGUGAGUAAGACGUAGGUGACCUACCCAGGAGAGGGGGACAACCACUGGAAACGGUGGCUAAUACCGCGGAUGUUGGUUUGGUUAGGACGGACCAACUGAAGGUGGGUUUGCUGGAGACAGCGACACAUGCUCCUGGAGGGGCCUGCGGGCCAUCAGCUAGUUGGUGGGGUAAGAGCCUACCAAGGCGAAGACGGCUAGGGGGCGUGAGAGCGCGACCCCCCACACUGGUACUGACACACGGACCAGAUACCUGCGGGUAGCAGCAGCAAGGAAUAUUGCGCAAUGGGGGCAACCCUGACGCAGCAACGCCGCGUGGAGGAAGACGUCUUUCGGGAUGUAAACUCCUUUUGUGGCGGAAGAAGGCGGCGGUCUAACGGUCGCUUAGCUUGACGGUACCCCAAGAAAAAGGCCCGGCUAACUACGUGCCAGCAGCCGCGGUAAAACGUAGGGGUCGAGCGUUAUCCGGAAUUACUGGGCGUAAAGCGCGUGCAGGCGGCGUGGCAAGUGGGACGUGAAAGCUCCUGGCUCAACUGGGAGAGGACGUUCGAGACUGCCAGGCUCGAGAACGGUAGAGGCGAGUGGAAUUCCCCGGUGUAGUGGUGAAAUGCGUAGAUAUCGGGAGGAACACCAGAGGCGAAGGCGGCUCGCUGGGCCGGUUCUGACGCUCAGACGCGAAAGCCAGGGGAGAGAACGGGAUUAGAAACCCCGGUAUUCCUGGCAGUAAACGAUGUCAACCAGGUGUAGGGGGUGUCAAAGCCUUCUGCGCUGCAGCUAACGCAGUAAGUUGACCGCCUGGGGAGUACGGCCGCAAGGCUAAAACUCAAAGGAAUUGACGGGGGCCCGCACAAGCAGCGGAGCGUGUGGUUUAAUUCGAGGCAACGCGAAGAACCUUACCAGGGUUUGACAUGGCGGUGGUAGGGGGCGGAAACGUCUCUGACCCUUCGGGGAGCCGUCACAGGUGCUGCAUGGCUGUCGUCAGCUCGUGCCGUGAGGUGUUAGGUUAAGUCCUGUAACGAGCGCAACCCACAUCGUUAGUUACAAGUGUCUAGCGAGACUGCCGGUGAUAAGCCGGAGGAAGGUGUGGAUGACGUCAAGUCAGCAUGGCCUUUAUAUCCUGGGCGACACACACGCUACAAUGGCCGGUACAAUGGGCAGCCAAGUCGCGAGACGGAGCCAAUCCCGCAAAGCCGGUCUCAGUUCGGAUUGCAGGCUGCAACUCGCCUGCAUGAAGUCGGAGUUGCUAGUAACCGCAGGUCAGCCACACUGCGGUGAAUACGUUCCCGGGCCUUGUACACACCGCCCGUCACGUCAUGGGAGUUGGCAACGCCUGAAGUCGGUGGGCUAACGGGCCUAUCUACGAUAGGCUUGGGGCAGCCGCCUAAGGCG